UCUUACAUCUUAUAAAACAAGAUGUUAGAUUAGAUUAGGUUAGUUUCCUUACAUGCAAUUGUAAGACACAUUGACAAAUCGGUCGGUUACAACUUUCCUUGAUUUUUCUUUUUAAGAUAGCCUCAUACUGAUUCUUAUCAGGAAUUGAGGCUCCGCCUCAAAUUUGAAACCUCAAUUACAUAGGUUUGGUUUGUUCAUACUGAAUUAACUUUCAGUAAAGUUGUUACUUGGAAGAGAUUUUACUGUAGGUGGUCGCAACUCAGGAUAUUGCCUCAUAACUGGUAGAGUAAAUUCUGCUGAAUAUUGUAAUCCUUAACCCUUUAUAAACUUUUCUCCCGUGUGUGUGUGUGUGGCACACGGUGAUACUAUGGAAUGCCCUCAGCCGCAAAGGUCAGCUGGAGUCGACGGGCAGAAAUGUUGCCUGUUGAUUCACAGUCUAUACGCUGGACCACCGUUUUCCUGAUUUCUUCUGUCAUUGUUUACCGUAUACUCACAUGUUCGUUUAGUGUUACGUUGAAGAUGUAUUAUAUACUGAAUGAAAUAGAAAGUCAUUCGCUUCGCCGUACGAUGAAACAGAGCUAGACCAGUCAUUUGGAUGAGGAAAAUCCAUAUCACCAGGUUCAAUACAGGUUCUUCUUGAUAUUAUUUUUGGAGCAAAUGUUUCCACUCCAACAAGCUCAGUGGGGUUUUGAACACCCAAGUGAGGCACUACUAUAAAUUGUGCUUGUCAAAUCGAUACACUCUUCUGAACAUGAAAUAGUCAUCAGUACUAAGUAAAUCUGUAUUAAGAUUUACAGUUAAUCUGUAUUAAGAGAAUUUGUGUACAACCAACAGUCAUUUUCAGUAUUUCAUGAGCUAGGUGUGUCUUGCCAUAGCCAGAUGGACCCAUCAUUAAAAGUAGAACCCUCCAACCAUUAAUUAUUAUAUUGGGUAUUUCGCUCUCAACAUUUAUGCUAUUUAUCUCAAUUUUUGUAGUUUUAUUAGAAUUAUUUGAAUGAUUUCGACCAUUUUAUAUCUGAGAGUAAGACAUCUUUGAUUCCAGAAGUAUUCCAUUCCUGUAUCGAUCACCAGGUUCAAUACAGGUUCUUUUUGAUAUUAUUUCUGGGGCAAAUGUUUCCACUCCAACAAGCUUAGUGGGGUUUGGAACACCCAAAGUUAGACACCUGCGCCAAUCGUUUGAAUCCACGGUAGGUAUGACAAAUUGGUCGGUUACAACUUUCCUUGAUUUUUCGUUUUCAAAGUUUUCUGCAUCAGCCACCCCUUGUAUGGUAUUUUUUGAACUGAACAAAAUUGGUUAUUAGUUAUGACAAAUUCGAUAAUUUUACCCAGUUAACAUCACAACCAUCAUUUUCAAAAAUAUUCCUCUAUUAUUUAAGCAAGGAAUAUAUCUAAACAUCUGUCUAAACACUUUGAGGUGCUGUUUAUUAACACUACAAGUACAAGACCUACAAAGUAGUUUUACAUAUAUCAGCCUAGAUGUCUCUAGUAAAAUAAAAGGUAUUAUUUUGAUACAUAUUAAACAAUGUUCCUCAUUUUGGCAUUGAAGUGUUCACUUAAAUUAAAUAAAAAUAAAAAAGCAUUUUAUUUCUUACAGCUUAUAAAACAAGAUGUUAGAUUAGAUUAGGUUAGUUUGCUUACAUGCAAUUGUAAGACACAUUGACAAAUUGUUCGGUUACAACUUUCCUUGAUUUUUCUUUUUAAGGUAGCCUCAUACUGAUUCUUAUCAGGAAUUGAGGCUCCGCCUUAAAUUUGAAACCUCAAUUACAUAGGUUUCGUUUGUUCAUACUGAAUUAACUUUCAGUAAAGUUGUUACUUGGAAGAGAUUUUACUGUAGGUGGUCGCAACUCAGGAUAUUGCCUCAUAACUGGCGGAGUAAAUUCUGCUGAAUAUUGUAAUCCUUAACCCUUUAUAAAUUUUUCUCCCGUGUGUGUGUGUGUGGCUCACGGUGAUACUAUGGAAAGACCUCAGCCGCAGUGGUCAGCUGGAGUCGACGGGCAGAAAUGUUGCCUGUUGAUUCACAGUCUAUACGCUGGACCACCGUUUUCCUGAUUUCUUCUGUCAUUGUUUACCGUAUACUUACAUGUUCGUUCAUUGUAACGUUGAAGGUGUAUUUAUAUACUGAAUAAAAUAGAAAGUCAUUCGCUUCGCCGUACGAUGAAACAGAGCUAGACCAGUCAUUUGGAUGAGGAAAAUCCAUAUCACCAGGUUCAAUACAGGUUCUUCUUGAUAUUAUUUUUUGGAGCAAAUGUUUCCACUCCAACAAGCUCAGUGGGGUUUUGAACACCCAAGUGAGGCACUACUAUAAAUUGUGCUUUUCAAAUCGAUACACUCUUCUGAACAUGAAAUAGUCAUCAGUAUUCAGUAAAUGUUUAUCUUGAAUUUGUGUACAACAAACUGUCAUUUGCAGUAUUUCACGAGGUUGGUGUGUCUUGCCAUAGCCAGAUGGACCUCUCAUUAGAAGUAGAACCCUCCAACCAUUAAUUAUUAUAUUGGGUAUUUCGCUCUCAACAUUUAUGCUAUUUAUCUCAAUUUUUGUAGUUUUAUUAGAAUUAUUUGAAUGAUUUCGACCAUUUUAUAUCUGAGAGUAAGACAUCUUUGAUUCCAGAAGUAGGUAUUCCAUUCCUGUAUCGAUCACCAGGUUCGAUACAGGUUCUUCUUAAUAUUAUUUCUGGGGCAAAUGUUUCCACUCCAACAAGCUUAGUGGGGUUUGGAACACCCAAAGUUAGACACCUGCGCCAAUCGUUUGAAUCCACGGUAGGUAUGACAAAUUGGUCGGUUACAACUUUCCUUGAUUUUUCGUUUUCAAAGUUUUCUGCAUCAGCCACCCCUAGUAUGGUAUUUUUUGAACUGAACUAAAUUGGUUAUUAGUUAUGACAAAUUCGAUAAUUUUACCCAGUUAACAUCACAACCAUCAUUUUCAAAAAUAUUCCUCUAUUAUUUAAGUAAGGAAUAUAUCUAAACAUCUGUCUAAACACUUUGAGGUGCUGUUUAUUAACACUACAAGUACAAGACCUACAAAGUAGUUUUACAUAUAUCAGCCUAGAUGUCUCUAGUAAAAUAAAAGGUAUUAUUUUGAUACAUAUUAAACAAUGUUCCUCAUUUUGACAUUGAAGUGUUCACUUAAAUAAAAUAAAAAUAAAAAAGCAUUUUAUUUCUUACAGCUUAUAAAACAAGAUGUUAGAUUAGAUUAGGUUAGUUUGCUUACAUGCAAUUGUAAGACACAUUGACAAAUUGGUCGGUUACAACUUUCCUUGAUUUUUCUUUUUAAGGUAGCCUCAUACUGAUUCUUAUCAGGAAUUGAGGCUCCGCCUCAAAUUUGAAACCUCAAUUAUAUAGGUUUCGUUUGUUCAUACUGAAUUAACUUUCAGUAAAGUUGUUACUUGGAAGAGAUUUUACUGUAGGUGGUCGCAACUCAGGUUAUUGCCUCAUAACUGGCGGAGUAAAUUCUGCUGAAUAUUGUAAUCCUUAACCCUUUAUAACUUUUUCUCCCGUGUGUGUGUGUGUGGCUCACGGUGAUACUAUGGAAAGACCUCAGCCGCAGUGGUCAGCUGGAGUCGACGGGUAGAAAUGUUGCCUAAUGAUUCACAAUCUAUACGCUGGACCACCGUUUUCCUGAUUUCUUCUGUCAUUGUUUACCGUAUACUCACAUGUUCGUUCAUUGUAACGUUGAAGGUGUAUUUAUAUACUGAAUAAAAUAGAAAGUCAUUCGCUUCGCCGUACGAUGAAACAGAGCUAGACCAGUAAUUUGGAUGAGGAAAAUCCAUAUCACCAGGUUCAAAUCAGGUUCUUCUUGAUAUUAUUCCUUGGGCAAAUGUUUCCACUCCAACAAGCUCAGUGGGGUUUUGAACACCCAAGUUAGGGACUACUAUAAAUUAUGCUUGUCAAAUUGAUAAACUAUUCUUAACCUUUCAUUACUUCGCUUAUACGAGUAUUCUAUUGCUCUACACGAGUGGUUAAUAUUGAGUAAUGAGAUGACCCAGGAACCGUACAAGAUUCAUGAUGACAUUGUGGUGGCUGUUGUGGCACUCCUGCUUCAGUAUUAAUGUCCCCUAUGAUACUCAUAAGUCUAUUAGCAGAUUGCUUAACUAAAACAAAUAAUAAUUUUUAAGUUUCUAUUCGUCAUAACUUCCAUUAUUGUUAAUUUAUAUAAUUGAGAUUUUUAAUUAAAAAUAUUCUGAUAAUAA